rnacentral:misc_RNA from 1 species
AAGUCGUAACAAUAACACGUAUCCAACGUUAAACCCCCCGUGAAUAUUAAUCGUGCUCUUGCAUCCUCCCAAUCAGCAAUCUCUGGUAAAUCACGUCGAACGGUUUGAUUCAGAGACCUCCGCGUUGUGGAUGACUGCUGACGCUAGGAUCAGUGGUUUGGUUUCCCCUCAAACCACUUCAAUGAAUGACAGCGUCAUUGAAGUGUGAUGGGGAGGUCGCUUAACGCACGCUGUAGGCUCACACGAGCCGGCGUCCAAAUCACCGGACGCAAGCCCCCCUAAAACCCCAUGUCAGCGUAGGCCCUUCUGUCGUGGUUGGACGUAAAAACGAACAACUGUUAACAAUGGAUAUCUUGGUUCUC